rnacentral:rRNA from 1 species
GGAAGUAAAAGUCGUAACAAGGUUUCCGUAGGUGAACCUGCGGAAGGAUCAUUAACGAGUUUUGAAAAGAGUUGUAGCUGGCCUUUAAAAUCAUUAACCAAAUAAAAAUAAAAAAAAAAGGCAUGUGCACACUCUGCUCAUCCACUCUCAUACCCCUGUGCACUUAUUGUAGGCUGGGUCGGAUGACUGGCUGUGAAAGGCCGGUUUGAAAAGCCUUGUCUAUGUUUUAUUACAAACAAGUUCAGUUUAAGAAUGUCAUAUUAUAUUAGCGUGUAACGCAAUAAAUACAACUUUCAGCAACGGAUCUCUUGGCUCUCGCAUCGAUGAAGAACGCAGCGAAAUGCGAUAAGUAAUGUGAAUUGCAGAAUUCAGUGAAUCAUCGAAUCUUUGAACGCACCUUGCGCUCCUUGGUAUUCCGAGGAGCAUGCCUGUUUGAGUGUCAUGGUAUUCUCAACCUUUAAGGUUUUUUGUUUAAAAUAAAACACUUUGAAGGCUUGGAUUUGGAGGUUUUGUGUUGGCGCAAGUCAACUCCUCUGAAAUGCAUUAGUGUGAGCUUUUACGGAUCGCCUUCAGUGUGAUAAUUAUCUACGCUGUGGUGUUGAAGUAUAACAAGUGGUUCAUGCUUCUAACCGUCCAGUUAUGGACACAACAUUUUAAUGACAAUCUGACCUCAAAUCAGGUAGGACUACCCGCUGAACUUAAGCAUAUC